UGCACACUCAGGAUCAUUACCUCAGGUAUGGCCCUCCUGUGCCUCCACCCCAGGUGCACACUCACACACGAUCAUUACCUCAGGUAUGGCCCACCUGUGCUUCCCCCCCAAGUGCACACUCACACAC